CUCAGUUCUCCCGACUCCCGGUAGAGCUCUAUUCCACAGGACGCAGGACAGACAGGACUCUCGGGUGGGUGGAGAAGUUCCAUCCCUGCGCUCACAACUAGGGCGCAAGGAGAGGAAAUACGAUACAUAUGAAAUAUUUACAGCUGAAGUGACAUGUCUGCAAUUUGCUUCAAAAUAAUACGGGGAGAGGUGGGACAAGACGGACCAUGAAUCACUCAUCGUGGAGGCCGGAGCACAGGAUACGCAGCGGCUCCGUAUAAUAUUCUGUCUGCUUUCGUGUACUUGUGUGUGGGAAACGUCUGGACUAGCAACUGUAAGAUAAUAAAAGUAAACUGAGUCCCGA